ACACAUGAUGAGCAGCAAAGAAAGGGAAUCUCUUGUCGAGCUCAGGGAAUGAAUCCCAGUGGCGGUGACAUGACAAACUUUGAUAUUACUAUAAUCCAUUCUAUUCUGUUACUGAUGC